GUCUUCAGCCUCACCUGUUAAUCAGCCUCUCUCCUCUCACCUGUGUAUCGUUUCACUCUGCUCCUGUUUACUGCGUGUUUGAGAUCCUAAUUCCUGUGAUUCUGUUAUUCCAGUUCUUUUUCCUAGUGUUCCCGUUGUGUUGCUUAUGUUGUGUUUUGUUUUUUUGGCUUGUUUCCCUGAAGUAAGACUCAGUUCCUGUUGGAAAUACUGGAUAUCUGAAGGUACACUGACCAAUUGAACUUCCAGCCCCUGCUUCCUGGUUCCUCCAGUAACGCGUGGACGGACAGAGAUGGACGAGGGCAGACCAGAGAGGACAUGGAGUGUCUGAAGGAGGUGGGGGGCUUGAAGGUGGGGGAUGACCAAAAAGGACUCUGGCUGAAGGAAAGCUCCUGCAUCGAUGGUUGUCUGUGGAUGGUUGUCUGACUGCUGGAGAAAAAAGUUGGCAGUCGGAGAGAGCGGCCAUCCAUCAUGUUCUGAAUGGAUGACCUUUGAGAGGCGUGGCCUGUCAGAGAAACAAAAUAAAGCAACAAGUUCUAACAAAUAUGAAGACAUUUAAUGAUGAAUCAUAAC